UUGAUUAAGGUUGCAGGUUGCAACGGUCUCUUAAAUUAAACUUAAGGUUGCUUGCUGCCUUACGAGGAUGAAAAUAGGCCACUUCGGUUCGUAAAAUUAAAGUUGCAGCCGCAAACGACGUCGAAGCCAACGGAGAACGGAUGGAAGGCGACAACGGAAGAGAAGAAAAAUCGGAGGAGGAGGAUCAGCCAAGGCCGAAGUACUAGCAAACGGGCGGUCAGCGCGCCGACGGUCCUUCAAGAUGACUUCGCUUUUUGUGUUGCCGUUACCGAACGCAUGACUGCUCUUUACUCGUGGCGGCUCCGUCCACAUUCUGGAUUUUCCCGGCAGUCAAUUUGUACUGCAUAUUGUAUUAGCUUUACGUAGACGCGCCAUGUGAGAAGGACCUUCUGAACACAACCUAGAAGCUGGUGCAACUCUUGCUGCUUUCGAACAUGUAUUACCUGAAGCUGGUGCAAGUCAAUUGUUCACAUAGGAGUAUUACUAUAAGUUAUUUAAAUCCUAUCGCCUCUUGUUAUCCAUCAAUUAGUGAUUUGGUAUAGAAAAGUUUGUGACUUCAUAAGAUGAUGAAUUGCUGAUAUUUUUUCCAUUUUCUUUCUAUACAAAGUGCCAUACAUUGUAUA